UACGUAGGUGGCAAGCGUUGUCCGGAUUUAUUGGGUUUAAAGGGUGCGUAGGCGGCCGCCUAAGUCAGUUGUGAAAUACCCCGGCUCAACCGGGGGGGUGCGAUUGAUACUGGGCGGCUCGAGUAACAGCGAGGUUGGCGGAAUUGACGGUGUAGCGGUGAAAUGCAUAGAUAUCGUCAAGAACACCGAUAGCGAAGGCAGCCAACUAGGGGUUAACUGACGCUGAGGCACGAAAGCGUGGGGAGCGAACAGG
rnacentral:rRNA from 1 species